ACUAAGCGUACACGGUGGAUGCCCUGGCAGUCAGAGGCGAUGAAGGACGUGCUAAUCUGCGAUAAGCGUCGGUAAGGUGAUAUGAACCGUUAUAACCGGCGAUUUCCGAAUGGGGAAACCCAGUGUGUUUCGACACACUAUCAUUAACUGAAUCCAUAGGUUAAUGAGGCGAACCGGGGGAACUGAAACAUCUAAGUACCCCGAGGAAAAGAAAUCAACCGAGAUUCCCCCAGUAGCGGCGAGCGAACGGGGAGCAGCCCAGAGCCUGAAUCAGUGUGUGUGUUAGUGGAAGCGUCUGGAAAGGCGCGCGAUACAGGGUGACAGCCCCGUACACAAAAAUGCACAUACUGUGAGCUCGAUGAGUAGGGCGGGACACGUGGUAUCCUGUCUGAAUAUGGGGGGACCAUCCUCCAAGGCUAAAUACUCCUGACUGACCGAUAGUGAACCAGUACCGUGAGGGAAAGGCGAAAAGAACCCCGGCGAGGGGAGUGAAAAAGAACCUGAAACCGUGUACGUACAAGCAGUGGGAGCACGCUUAGGCGUGUGACUGCGUACCUUUUGUAUAAUGGGUCAGCGACUUAUAUUCUGUAGCAAGGUUAACCGAAUAGGGGAGCCGAAGGGAAACCGAGUCUUAACUGGGCGUUAAGUUGCAGGGUAUAGACCCGAAACCCGGUGAUCUAGCCAUGGGCAGGUUGAAGGUUGGGUAACACUAACUGGAGGACCGAACCGACUAAUGUUGAAAAAUUAGCGGAUGACUUGUGGCUGGGGGUGAAAGGCCAAUCAAACCGGGAGAUAGCUGGUUCUCCCCGAAAGCUAUUUAGGUAGCGCCUCGUGAAUUCAUCUCCGGGGGUAGAGCACUGUUUCGGCAAGGGGGUCAUCCCGACUUACCAACCCGAUGCAAACUGCGAAUACCGGAGAAUGUUAUCACGGGAGACACACGGCGGGUGCUAACGUCCGUCGUGAAGAGGGAAACAACCCAGACCGCCAGCUAAGGUCCCAAAGUCAUGGUUAAGUGGGAAACGAUGUGGGAAGGCCCAGACAGCCAGGAUGUUGGCUUAGAAGCAGCCAUCAUUUAAAGAAAGCGUAAUAGCUCACUGGUCGAGUCGGCCUGCGCGGAAGAUGUAACGGGGCUAAACCAUGCACCGAAGCUGCGGCAGCGACACUAUGUGUUGUUGGGUAGGGGAGCGUUCUGUAAGCCUGUGAAGGUGUACUGUGAGGUAUGCUGGAGGUAUCAGAAGUGCGAAUGCUGACAUAAGUAACGAUAAAGCGGGUGAAAAGCCCGCUCGCCGGAAGACCAAGGGUUCCUGUCCAACGUUAAUCGGGGCAGGGUGAGUCGACCCCUAAGGCGAGGCCGAAAGGCGUAGUCGAUGGGAAACAGGUUAAUAUUCCUGUACUUGGUGUUACUGCGAAGGGGGGACGGAGAAGGCUAUGUUGGCCGGGCGACGGUUGUCCCGGUUUAAGCGUGUAGGCUGGUUUUCCAGGCAAAUCCGGAAAAUCAAGGCUGAGGCGUGAUGACGAGGCACUACGGUGCUGAAGCAACAAAUGCCCUGCUUCCAGGAAAAGCCUCUAAGCAUCAGGUAACAUCAAAUCGUACCCCAAACCGACACAGGUGGUCAGGUAGAGAAUACCAAGGCGCUUGAGAGAACUCGGGUGAAGGAACUAGGCAAAAUGGUGCCGUAACUUCGGGAGAAGGCACGCUGAUAUGUAGGUGAAGUCCCUCGCGGAUGGAGCUGAAAUCAGUCGAAGAUACCAGCUGGCUGCAACUGUUUAUUAAAAACACAGCACUGUGCAAACACGAAAGUGGACGUAUACGGUGUGACGCCUGCCCGGUGCCGGAAGGUUAAUUGAUGGGGUUAGCGCAAGCGAAGCUCUUGAUCGAAGCCCCGGUAAACGGCGGCCGUAACUAUAACGGUCCUAAGGUAGCGAAAUUCCUUGUCGGGUAAGUUCCGACCUGCACGAAUGGCGUAAUGAUGGCCAGGCUGUCUCCACCCGAGACUCAGUGAAAUUGAACUCGCUGUGAAGAUGCAGUGUACCCGCGGCAAGACGGAAAGACCCCGUGAACCUUUACUAUAGCUUGACACUGAACAUUGAGCCUUGAUGUGUAGGAUAGGUGGGAGGCUUUGAAGUGUGGACGCCAGUCUGCAUGGAGCCGACCUUGAAAUACCACCCUUUAAUGUUUGAUGUUCUAACGUUGACCCGUGAUCCGGGUUGCGGACAGUGUCUGGUGGGUAGUUUGACUGGGGCGGUCUCCUCCUAAAGAGUAACGGAGGAGCACGAAGGUUGGCUAAUCCUGGUCGGACAUCAGGAGGUUAGUGCAAUGGCAUAAGCCAGCUUGACUGCGAGCGUGACGGCGCGAGCAGGUGCGAAAGCAGGUCAUAGUGAUCCGGUGGUUCUGAAUGGAAGGGCCAUCGCUCAACGGAUAAAAGGUACUCCGGGGAUAACAGGCUGAUACCGCCCAAGAGUUCAUAUCGACGGCGGUGUUUGGCACCUCGAUGUCGGCUCAUCACAUCCUGGGGCUGAAGUAGGUCCCAAGGGUAUGGCUGUUCGCCAUUUAAAGUGGUACGCGAGCUGGGUUUAGAACGUCGUGAGACAGUUCGGUCCCUAUCUGCCGUGGGCGCUGGAGAACUGAGGGGGGCUGCUCCUAGUACGAGAGGACCGGAGUGGACGCAUCACUGGUGUUCGGGUUGUCAUGCCAAUGGCACUGCCCGGUAGCUAAAUGCGGAAGAGAUAAGUGCUGAAAGCAUCUAAGCACGAAACUUGCCCCGAGAUGAGUUCUCCCUGACUCCUUGAGAGUCCUGAAGGAACGUUGAAGACGACGACGUUGAUAGGCCGGGUGUGUAAGCGCAGCGAUGCGUUGAGCUAACCGGUACUAAUGAACCGUGAGGCUUAACC
rnacentral:rRNA from 1 species